GGUAAAAUGGCUGAGUGUAAGCAUUGAACAGUAAAUUCAAAGACAGAGACUAGAUAUCUCUUUUUACCA
rfam:Sarcophilus harrisii ctg7180002466706, whole genome shotgun sequence.